rnacentral:rRNA from 1 species
UUGCGUCUAGUUGCUAACCGAAAGGUGCACUCUAGACGGACUGCCCGUGUCGAAUGGGAGGAAGGUGGGGAUGACGUCAAGUCAUCAUGGCCCUUAUGUCCGGGGCAACACACGUGCUACAAUGGUCGGUAUAAAGGGUUGCCAACCCGCGAGGGGAGCCAAUCUCAAAAAGCCGACCUCAGUUCGGAUCGGAGGCUGCAAUUCGCCUCCGUGAAGCCGGAAUCGCUAGUAAUCGCGGAUCAGCCACGCCGCGGUGAAUAUGUUCCCGAGCCUUU